CACGUAGGGGGCAAGCGUUGUCCGGAUUUAUUGGGCGUAAAGAGCUCGUAGGCUGUUCGAUAAGUCGGGUGUGAAACCUCCAGCUCAACCUGGAGACGCCACCCGAUACUGUCAUGACUAGAGUCCGGUAGGGGAGCGUGGAAUUCCUGGUGUAGCGGUGAAAUGCGCAGAUAUCAGGAGGAACACCGAUGGCGAAGGCAGGUCUCUGGGCCACUACUGACGCUGAGAAGCGAAAGCAUGGGGAGCGAACAGG
rnacentral:rRNA from 1 species